UUAACAUCCUUGGAGACUGGAGCCCUCUACCUGCCUAUGGAACAGGCACAGCCUGGGCAGCAGCAGUACUAGCUUCCAACAUUCCCCACCACCAUGACAGCCCAGACCUGGAGGAACCACCUCUAGAGGUGAGAGACCAGCUCAGCCUCCGUGUCCGUGAGAGCUUGGCCUCU
rnacentral:sRNA from 1 species